CAAAUGCAAAAGGAAGAGCGUUUUGGAGUGGGCACAGUCCCCCCCAAACAAGUUCUGCAGACAUGAGGGAUUUAUUUUGUCCCCAAGUUCAUUCUUUUUUUUAAUUUUUUACAUUCUAAAGCUGGAGGCCCCCCGCCCCGACCCCUAGCCUCCUGGUGGGAUGUCAGUGACAUGAGGCCAGCAGGUGCGUGCCCACUGGCUGGGAUUUCACCACCACAGGCCUCAGAUCCCUCCAGAGCUGCCAGGCGGGUGUCUGCAAGGCACCCAUCCAGGAAGACUUUCCUUUUGGGUCUUUAAAAGGCCCCAAAGCGAAUGCCUUGGCCCGUAUCCUCCGGGAUUAGCUAACUGGAAUGAGGACUUGGGGAGAAAUGUGACAUGAGAGUCCCCGGAGAGGGGACACGGAAGCCUCUGGGGAGGGGUGCCAGGUGGGGGGGAGGGGCACAAGCCAAGCUUUGCCUCUUCCUCAGAUGGCUCAAUUCCAGGCUGGAGCCCGCAGCUGCCCGGUUUCCUCCCCAGUUCUAACCCCCCGGGGGUGUGGUCAGCCCAUCAACCCUCUGAACAUGGGGAGCAGCCUUGCAGGUCCCUGCCUGGCCCCCUUCGUGACCAGGGCAGCACCCCGCCCUCCCAUCAGAAUCCCCUCUCUCCCCGAGGCACCGCAGCCCCUGCCCACCACUAAGCUUCAGGUCCCCAGGUCCCCCUCCAGCUGUCACAGGCGUCAGGAUCCCUGAACGGCAAGGCGUUAAGGGAGCAGCAAGGAAGACCCUUUUCCGCACCUGAAGACAUCAAGGCUCCACGAUCCCGAGAACACAAAACAAAACCCACUUUAAGCCCAAAGUGGCCUGAAGCCUCAUCCGGUUCUGCCCUCACUCCAUAGGCACAGACCAACAGAUGGGUUAGCCGAGUAGCAUCUCCCCCUACCCCCACCCCGCCAAGCUAACACGGGCAGGACCUUCUAGCACUUCUAGACACCUAUUUUCAACCGUGACUUUGGGCAGAAGCAAUGGGAGCAGAGGUUGGUUAGCCGGUCCUCUGCCAGCCUGAACGGCUCUUUGAUCACCCUGCCUGCGCACGAGGCUCUGCUAUUUAUUACGCGGUGUUUUAUUCCGGACAGGAUGUGGGUCUGGUGGAUACUGUGAGGUGUCUGUCAUAGUUUUUCAGAUACAAAAGAUUUUUAUGAUAAAUACAAAUAAAAUACAGCACCCAGGUGACUGGCACCCGCCUCCAGGCCCGGGUAAUUCCCCGUGAAGACACUCACUGCUCCAGAAGGCGAUAUAAAUCCUGGCAUGCCAAUAAAAGUUACAGGGUUGACUCGAGAAAAGACCGCCGGGACCCACUGCUGACCUGCCUACCCCUCGUGCCCAGAGUCUCCACAGAUGACAAGGGCUUUCAAAGGGACAGCUAGGGGACAGAUUCACCUGAAAUAAGAACCAUUUUUGCAUAUAUUGAGUACCUACUAUGCGCCAGGCAUCUGAUAACUUAUUUCAUUAAAGGCAUCAAAAGCAACACCUGAACACUGCCGGGCCCGCCCUACAGGAGUGGGUGGGGGGAAUUUACCACUGCCACCUCCCAAGGGAGCCACCUCUGCCCCCAGGCAGACCCCUGGAGCCCCCACCAUUGAUGCCCUGUUGUUGGCACCCUUUGUAUUACAGUGAGAGACGUGCACAGCUCCUGAGGGAGGCAUAACAGACAGACAAGAGUAAUGGGGUUAUUCUGGGAGUUCCCAUCACGGCUCGGCAGUUAAGGAACCCGACUAGUAGCCCUGAGGACUCGGGUUCAAUCCCUGGCCUUGCUCAGUGGGUUAAGGAUUGGGCGUUGCGUGAGCUGUGGUGUAGGUCACAGAUGCAGCUCGGAUUAGACCCCUGGCCUAGGAACCUCCAUGUGCCGUGGGUGUGGGCCCAAAAGGACAAAAAAAAAAAAGGCGUCCGUACCUGGGCUGCAGCAAGGUCAGCCUCGGAGGGCCGGCCUCACACUCCUCUGGGCAGCUGUGCCAUCCUGGGGGACCCCACUGUGGCCUCGGGAACCCACUGACUCACUGCCCACCGGGGGGGAGGGCAGUGAGCCUCAGCUGCAGGACAAAGGGUGAGAGUUAGUUCCAUCCUGAGGACUCAACAUCGUCACAAAUGGUUCAAAUGUACAAGUCAGGGGGAAAAAUCAUUUUUCAGACCUUUCAAUUCGCUCCUGGGCCCGGCAUCUGUCUUCCUCCUUCCCGGAGAAAGCCGCCAUGUCACCUCCACGCCACCUGGGGGGGGAGAAGAGAAGACACCCAGCGGGUUCCCUGGCUGAGGUGCAGCCCACCUCUCCGAGCCGCUGCCCCAGGCCCCACCUGCGUGCGGGACGGGGGUGGAGGUGAUGAGAGAAAGGAGUAGCCAGUGCGGGCCUCCAUCAGGGCCCAGGGGAGCCCGCGGUGGGGGCCCCCGCUAAGAACUUGCCAACAGCUUGGGCAUCACAGAGCAAAGCAGGGCACGAGCGCCACCGUGCACCCCAGCUGGGCUGACACGCAGACCCCAAGCCUGACCAGACACACGGCCUUGGUCGGUCCCCGUUAGAGAAGGGACAUGGUCCCCCCGGGGCCUGCGGUUGGGCGCUGGGCCCCGGGUUCCUCCCCUGCAGAAGGGGGAUAAUGAAGUUACGGCUUCCCUGGGUGUGACAAGGGUGACAGAACGAAGACAGCCAAGGACAUAGGAAAUACUGAGACGCACCAUGGAGGGACCCAAAAGUAGAGACGGGCCGCCAUGCGGCCCCAAGAGAAAAGCGGGACAGGGAGGCGAGUGGACGGUGGCCGCUUUCAUACUCAGAGAACCCCAUUUAUCCAAUCACUUUCUAGGAAGCAGCGGAGCUCCAGCCGACGGGACAGGACCAGAUCCGCCAACCACUCGCAUCAAAGGUAAGACCUGGGGCGAGGUCCCGCGCGGACCUCCCAGGGGGCCUGGGGUGGGGCUGGGGCGUCUGGGCCAUUCUGGGAGCUGCGCCGGUGUCAGGAACAGAGGCUAAGGGUUCGUCUGUCUGCAAGAAAACCCGUGACAUGGGGGACUCAAUGCCCCCUCAAACACUUGAGCAGCUAUAAUUAGCAGGUCCUGGGCCAGCUGUCCUGUCCCUCUGCCGACAACCGAAUUAGCCAAAAGGAGCUGGGAGUGGCCGCAGACUUUCGAGGAGACGGAGGGCAGACACUGAGAAGGCCCUUCCUCUGAUCUGGCCUCCCUCCAGGCCACAAAGCUGACCACAGGGACGCCACAAUGUGAUGUCCCUUGGGGUCCCCAGAUGGCCACCGCCCACCCCACCCUCCAGUGGAGGGCGGAGAGCCUAAGCCUGGCUUCAACUGACGCCUCUGCCUCUUCCUUCCCAAACGGGGCUCUCGCCUUCUCAACUUGACCCCGUGAGCCAGGAAGCAAGCCCACCCUGGAAGGAGCACCGUCAGUCUGGGGGCCUCGGGCCCAGGGCCAUGCCUGACACAGAGCAGACACUCCCUGGGGAACCCUUCCUGUGAUGCAGGGAGGCUGAUGACCCCCGUCUGGAGGACACGCGCCCCCUGCCUCUCCACGCGCCAUCCCUCACUAGCCCCGGUCACAGGGCCGUCCAAUGACCGGGGUCCGAGCACCACUGCCCCCGCUAAUUACAGCUCCUGGGCCAGUGGCUUCACCCCCUGGGCUCAGGUUCUCUCACUUGAAAGACAGGGCAUCAUCACCUCGCCCGGGUUACCGGGAGGAUGAAAGGUGGCACCACGCGUGAAGAGGCCGUCUGAGUCCUGACCUUUACCCUUAGAGCGGGUGUGCUGAAAUAAUAAUCCCAAGAAUCCCAAAGGUGAUUUCAGCCCUUCCGGUGUACAAAAGGCUUGGCGUGCCCCUUCCUCUACGGAAAUGGGGAGACGGAGGCCAGCCUCUGCCCCCCACUCCAGCCCUCGCCAGCCCUGCACCAAGGCCCCAGCCUCCUGCCCCAGGAACCCCCGUGACAAAGGCCUGCCACCAUGGCACCAGGCACAGAGGGGGCCCGCCAGAGACCCGAGAGAGUUCACUGAGACCUCGCCCAGCCCGGGGGUCAAACCUGGACAAAGAAACCCCCCUGCCUGUGCUCCCAACUGUGGAAAGGGUAGGAGGGCCCCCACCUGCUCAGCCAACCUCCUCCCCUCACCCCUGCUCCCGAGGGUUAUCCCAUGGGCAAUUCUCAGGACCCCAGACCUACAGGGGCAGAGAAGACACAGCCCAAACCCCCCCGCAGAUCUGGGGAAACUGAGGACCCGGGGGAAGGUCACAUGGACAGUCAGCCUAGGUCCUGGGCUGGCAGCACCUUCCCAGCCCACUUGCCUUGAAGGGCAAGGGCGGCUUCGGGCACAGCAGAUUGGCCAGGCCGAUUUGGGUCGCCCGAAGGAGGAGGACAUGGCCAUCCGUGACCCCUCGCUCAGCCCCUCCCGCAGGCGGCCCUCUCCCCCUCCCAGGGUUAUUCUGGGCAGAGUGACCCAGCCGCCCCCUGGAGCUGCCAGUCAAGCAGCGGAGGGGCACGCUCUCCUCAGAAUCAGGGGCACUGCCCUUCACCUCGAUGGCCGGGGAAGCGGGGAGCUGGGCACCCUCUCCAGGAGGCCCCCACCCCGCCUGGGCUGGACUCGGAGGACAAGCCCAGGGGCCAGCCCCAGCUCUGCCAUAACCCAGUGGCCCCUGUCUAGACACUCACUGUUGCCAGUGAUGUCUGAGGCCAGGGAGACGGACAGUCGGGGGCCUCUAGCCAGGCCAGGGGCGGGGACGAGAGUACCUGGGCCUCGCUGUUCUGGGUCAAGGUGAGAAGCGUCUCCCUCCGUAAGGCCCAAGGGUCUUUGGCACAGGUCAGGGGGUUGAGUGGAAAGGCAGGGGCCCAGACCCCCGACUCCCUACCUGGAGCUAUGACAGGCCAGCAGCCCUGGACGGUCCCAUGGUCCACUGGGACCCGGGACCCAACCGGAACUCCUCAGGGGGCCCUCAGGGAGCACUCUCAGAAGUCCCUCCCACCCUCCUAAUCUGCUCCCAACAAACGAGCUGGGCGAAGAGAGGGACCCACGCUGCCGGUGCCCAGCCAGAGAGCCCAGCAGGACUCCCA
rnacentral:lncRNA from 1 species